rnacentral:rRNA from 1 species
GACGAACGCUGGCGGCGUGCUUAACACAUGCAAGUCGAACGGAAAGGCCCUGCUUGCAGGGUGCUCGAGUGGCGAACGGGUGAGUAGCACGUGGGUGAUCUGCCCCUUACUUUGGGAUAAGCCUGGGAAACUGGGUCUAAUACUGGAUAGGACCAUGCUGUAGGUGGUGUGGUGGAAAGAUUAGUUUCGGUAAGGGAUGAGCUCGCGGCCUAUCAGCUUGUUGGUGGGGUAAUGGCCUACCAAGGCGUCGACGGGUAGCCGGCCUGAGAGGGUGGACGGCCACAUUGGGACUGAGAUACGGCCCAGACUCCUACGGGAGGCAGCAGUGGGGAAUAUUGCACAAUGGGCGCAAGCCUGAUGCAGCGACGCCGCGUGGGGGAUGACGGCCUUCGGGUUGUAAACUCCUUUCAGCCAUGACGAAGCCCUUGUGGUGACGGUAGUGGGAGAAGAAGCACCGGCUAACUACGUG